rnacentral:rRNA from 1 species
GAUGAACGCUGGCGGCGUGCCUAAUACAUGCAAGUCGAGCGAACAGACGAGGAGCUUGCUCCUCUGACGUUAGCGGCGGACGGGUGAGUAACACGUGGAUAACCUACCUAUAAGACUGGGAUAACUUCGGGAAACCGGAGCUAAUACCGGAUAAUAUAUUGAACCGCAUGGUUCAAUAGUGAAAGACGGUUUUGCUGUCACUUAUAGAUGGAUCCGCGCCGCAUUAGCUAGUUGGUAAGGUAACGGCUUACCAAGGCAACGAUGCGUAGCCGACCUGAGAGGGUGAUCGGCCACACUGGAACUGAGACACGGUCCAGACUCCUACGGGAGGCAGCAGUAGGGAAUCUUCCGCAAUGGACGAAAGCCUGACGGAGCAACGCCGCGUGAGUGAUGAAGGUCUUCGGAUCGUAAAACUCUGUUAUUAGGGAAGAACAAAUGUGUAAGUAACUAUGCACAUCUUGACGGUACCUAAUCAGAAAGCCACGGCUAACUACGUG